GGAGAAAAGCAGGGGAUCGCAAGACCUUGCGCUUUUGGAGCGGCCGAUGUCUGAUUAGCUAGUUGGUGAGGUAAAGGCUUACCAAGGCUUCGAUCAGUAGCUGGUCUGAGAGGACGACCAGCCACACUGGGACUGAGACACGGCCCAGACUCCUACGGGAGGCAGCAGUGGGGAAUUUUGGACAAUGGGGGAAACCCUGAUCCAGCCAUGCCGCGUGAGUGAAGAAGGCCUUCGGGUUGUAAAGCUCUUUCAGCCGGAACGAAAAGGUUACGGUUAAUACCCGUGACUAAUGACGGUACCGGAAGAAGAAGCACCGGCUAACUACGUGCCAGCAGCCGCGGUAAUACGUAGGGUGCGAGCGUUAAUCGGAAUUACUGGGCGUAAAGCGUGCGCAGGCGGUUUUGUAAGUCAGAUGUGAAAUCCCCGGGCUCAACCUGGGAACUGCGUUUGAAACUACAAGGCUAG
rnacentral:rRNA from 1 species